ensembl:snRNA U1 U1 spliceosomal RNA
AAAAUUACCUGGCAGUGGAGAUACCAUGAUCAUGAAGGUGGUUUUCCCAGGGUGAGGCUCACCCAUUGCGCUCUGCAUGUACUGACCCCUGUGAUUUCCCCAAAUAUGGGAAACUGAACUGCAAAAUUUGUGGUAGUGGGGGACUGCAUUUGCACUUUCCCCUG